UCAUUUCCUUAGUGUCUUGUGUAUUAGCUUGUGUAUUUUCACCUCUGUAGUGAGGGUAUCUUGGUCAGAGAUGCAGGCAGUCAUACCGCGGUAGCGUCAAGAAGCCCCAGGCUCCUUAGAGCUAAGUGGUGUCCAUAUACAUCACUCAAAUACAAGGAGCGAGGCUUAAGUUUGGCCCGUUCAGCUUUGUCAGCUAGAAGAGAGGGUGGGAAAAUCACACAUCUAAUCAACGUAUAGCUUUGCCUACUAAAAAGACUUCUCUGUAGAUGUCAAAUAUUUUUUUGCUGAUCUAGCUUAUUUCUUCAAGAAACAGAUGUAAACACUAAACUCCAGAGGGAAGCUUGUCUCUAGGAGGAAAUGUUUGCUGGCGUAUCCGGAUGUGCAAACUCUUUACUACAGACAAAGAAUGACAUGAGGCUACACUAUUACCAAAGAGGAAUUUAAAGAAUGAUUUUUCAGGAGCAUUUUGUGGCUUAAGGCUUUUUCUGGAACUUGCACGCAUAAAGGAACAUAUAUGAAAUUUUUAUGGCUACACUUAUAUUCGUGCCUAGGUUGAAAAUUUUGUUGUUUGUCCUAAGAGCAAAGGUUUUCAGGGUUCCAGAAGCCCCGUUAAGCAUUUGCUUUCAUGCUGACUUAACAGUCUUAGGCAAUGCAAUGUGAGACACAUACAUAAUAACGUGCCUUUUUUUCCUCUUGUAUUUGCUGUCAUGCAAGAAUUUCGGGUUUGUAGAAAGACUCCGGAGACCAACUGAAAUGCAAAUCAGGAUAUAUCAGACUAAGAAAAUAGAAAGGAUAUUAUCAGGAGCCUUGAAACACAUUUUCAUUUCAACUCUGAAAAGCACUGGCAGAAUAAUUUUGCGGAGUGAGACCGUCUCCUCCAGAUGUGGCGCUGGACUGGACCUGAGCUUUGCUGCUUAUUUACCUUUCAAAAACCUGCUUUUAUUGUGGUGUUCGUGCCUAGCAAGGAUCCUGAACAUAGGCUCUUUUAAUGUAACUUGAAAGGAAAGCGGGGGACCCCAGCAUAGUCCAAAUAUAGCCCCCACGGUAACGGUACUGCCGGCCGCGUGGACUGCUUGUUGGAGGCGAAGUCGUGCUCAUAGAGCUCAUGCCGACGCCGGCCUUUCAGGAGUGGGGAGGGAGAGGCUUUCGGGGAACUGCUGCUAGCAGAUAAAAACCUGAACUCGCAACCAGUUCUGAAACGGUCCCUGCUUGAUGUAAAGGCCUUUGGAGCUUUUUCACUCAACUUUGAGCACUUCUGCCUUUCCUCUCGCAACGUUUAGCUUUGACUUUCUUCUGCUUAUCUGUCGCUGGAGAGUAAUUGUCCCUUUCAUAAGGACCUUGCUUUAACCUUGAACAGUGGUUCCUCUAGCACCUGACGUGCCUUAUGUACUAUAUAUACUGAUGAAAGAGUGAGGUACCAUCCUAAUGUCUUCCUUGAUGAUUUCUUUUUUUAAUCUGUUUCAAGGAUGCCUUUCAGAUGGGACAUGAAAGCUUUUCCAAUUAUUACAGCACUCUCUAUGAAAUUUUUUAUUUAAAAUUUAGAUUUAUAUUUAGAAUAGGAGGAAAAAAGCCUACACAGUCUUAAGGGGCUGAAGCAGCAAUACUCGAGUUGUUAACAGUUGCUGUUAUCUGUUGUUUGGUCUGGGCCUAAUUGUGAAAUGGGCAUUUCAUUACUAAAUGGACACAGAGCCUUUCAUGCUGAUGGCGACCUGACCACACAUCUCACUGUUGCUGUAUGUGAAGCCUUGCAGGGAAAAGGUAGGAAUUGUAAUGAUAAUAUUCUGGCAGGGAAUGCUGCAACAGGACUAUAUAUAUAGUAGAAAGUGAGAACUCCCAUUUCAGGGCAUGGUUGAGGCAUGUUCAAUCAAAGGAAUAAAACUGAUUUGGUUUUAUUUAGUCUGUUUAGGAAUAAAACUUGUGCAGCAGACUCCCAUUUAUGCUUGCACCCAGUGUCAGGCGUGAGCUGGCUGGGGCAGGUGGACACAAUCCAAAAUUAAGAAUAAUUUGCAAACUGAGAGAAUGGCAAGGGCUCUUUGAUUCUCUGCCUUGGCUGGACAUGUGUGAAGGGAAGAGAGUGGAGAAACUGGGCUUUAUUCAGUGCACAGGAGGAGAGCUACAGAACCGCCACAAACAAACAAAAGCGAAAAGGAAAGUAAGAGUAGAUAUGUUUUUAAUAUUAUGGUAAUGUGCAAGGCAUGUUCUUUAGCAGAAUUCGGAUAGGAGGACAGGACCAGGAAUGGACUUGCAAAGCUAAGGUAAAACCCUAUCUUAGAAAAAUGAAGAGAAAGGAAAAAAUGCUUUUGACGAGGUUUGAUAGGAAAAGUAUUGGCAAGUGUCACCAAGAAUUGGGAAAAAUAACAGUUCAGCACAUGGCUAAACCAUGCGAGAUGGCUGAUGUGUGCAAACCUUCAAAGAUGAAUUCAUUGGUAAUUAGGAAUACAAAGAGCUUGAGUGAAAACGCGGAGGGGUACAUGAACUUGUUGGCUUCAUACCCCAUAUGAUACUUCCUGAGAGAUUCGGCCCAUGUUUAUACAGUGGCAGAUGUUUAUAUACUGGCAGAUGUGAGCCUUGAUGAGCACUAUGGGUGCUACCACUACUGUAGCAUCAAGCCCAGGCUAAGGCAACCUGAUGUGAAGCAGGUUGCUUUAGCCCUGCAGCUUCUUGCUGUUUUGGUAGGGCGUGGGCACAGAAUAUAACAUGUAGGUGCUCCUGUCCAUCUCCCAAAGCCUGCAGGCAUAUGUAAAGCUUUUGGAAAAGGAGUAUGCACAGUGAAUUUAUCAGCUGGCUCUGGGAUGUAAUGAAAAAUAGCUUGGGAAGUGCACCUUUGUUUGUGCAAAAGCAAAAUGCAAAGCCAAGGGGAUAAAAUGCAAUGAUAGGCUUAAUGUUCUGCAUAACUGUAGUAAUUGUAUUAAAGCUAGCAGGCAAGGAAAAUUCAGGGAGGCAGAAAGUGCUGCACUAGGCAUGGGCAGUAACUCAGAGAGUAAGAGUUAGCAGGUGUGUAGCAAUAACUGGUUGCAAAGCAGCAAAAACAUGAUUUGUGAAGUGCAGACCGGGAUGCUAGGGGAAGGCAGCGGUACUCAAGCAAAAAGAAAUUGGCAGUGAGGCAGCGAUGAGCACGUGAGGCUACCGAGGCUUCCUUGGCACGGGCUGAUGGAGGAGGAGAAGCUUGCAGCUGGCCAAGCCCUGUGCAGGUUGGAUGAGGGCGCGAUUGCGGGGCUGCGGGGAAACAGUGCGUGCCGUUCAGGAGGUGUCAGGUCGUACAGAAAAUGCAGGAAUAAUGCAAAUGUUCUUAAUGCAGACGAGCUAUUUAAAUAAUAGAUGCUGAAGCAAAACAAACCCAAAUAACUCGUGGAAUAGGGAGGAUGGUGUCAUGGAUUCCCUGGUUCCUUUAGGCCUAGGAUAGUCAGCUCCCAAGGCGUGCAAUAGCUGUAUUUGAUUACCAAGAGAGAAAUACAGAGGGAAAAGGAGUAGUGGGAAGAAACAGAGAUACCAGUCGCUGCCCCGGACUGCGCAGAGGUGACAGUAGCCUCGGGAGGAGGUCGUGUCAUCCCCCAGGGAGCCACGGGACUGUCCCGUGGAAGCCUUCCUGCGCCAAGGCCAAAGGCUUCAACAACAGGGAGAUGUCUACUCCUGACACUACGGCUUCUUUUUCCUGAAGAAAAAGAGGACUAGUGAGUGAUCUAAGGUUAAAGGGACAAUAUUGUGGUUUGGGGGCACUAUGUCAGUUGUGAGAGAUCAGACUGUGAAUUAGGGGGAGGAAAAAAAAGAAAAGAAAAAAAAAAAGUAAAUUCAGAGGCAUUGCUAGAAAACCCAUUAAUGGCAAACCCAGAAAUAAUCCCCGCUGAACCCAUGAACAUUUGCCAAGCAGAGGAAAUUCCCCAGUGCAUAUGAGAACCCCAAGACAGCAGGCAGUGCUCCGAGUGUGAUAAAAAAUUAAAAGUAUUACAAGGCAGAGACCGGGGCAGGGCGUCCUGCCGAGCGAAGACGCGGCUGCCUGGGGAGCUGCGGUGCAAGCUUGGCUGCAGCCUGGCUGUGGCAGGGAGGCGAGAGGUAAAACGUGCAACUGAUUUUGCUAUUUUUCACACAGGUGCGAGGUGCAGGCCGGAGAGGAGCGCCGGCGAGAAGGGACCUCUCACGGGGAGCUGGAAGGAAAGCUGAGCUCCUGCUAAGCCGGACGCGGUGCGCAAGCCAGCGUGCUGCUAGAAAUCCUUGAAAGCAAAUCCCAGUUAGGAGAAGGUAAACGGAUGAAAUUUAGGGUUAGAGUCGUAAACUUGUCUUUGCGAAGGGAACAAGCAAACUAAAUGUGUAAUGAAUCUGAAAAGAUAUGGUUUGUAAUAUAUGCUCAUUGGGAUGUUAAAAUACUGUAUGAAACCCUCCCGAAGGGCCAGGAAAGCUUAUGUGGUCUGGCUGAAGAAAGACAAGCGUGGAGAAGAAAAGCUUUGGUCCAACAUCUUUGAUUCUUUCAACCAACCAACCAAAACCCUGCAAUAAUUGUAGCUGAUGUUACAGCAAUAAGGCAUGUGGAAGGAAAGGCAAUACAGCGAGGUGUGCAGGUACAGCGUGUUAGAGACAGGCAGAAUGAAGAACUGGGGGUGAUGGGUGAUGAACUGUGGUGGGAAUUCUCCCUCUAAUUUAAUUGUGCCAUGGUCAGCUGCAGAGCACAGCUGUCCAGGUAGGUCUAUGGGACAUAAGAUGGUAGCCCCUGCAAAGAGUAUGAGAGAGAAUUUGAAAUAUAUAGAGAGAAAAGGAAGUAUGAAAUAUAAGAGAAAUGAGAGUGUGAGAGGGUGUGCUGUCAUGGGCCUCUGAUAUCAGUAAAGACAGUAUCACUGGUGCAAAGAAAGCUAAGUGUUAAUCUGCUCAAGCAGAUGACAAAGCUUUGGCUUGCUGGCUGCAAGGAAGGCUCAGUCCCAGCUGAACUGACCUUUCAGAGAGGCUGGCAAAGCUUCCUGUUUCCCCACCAAAGAUCGUUUUCUAUUUAGCUUCAAAUUUUGAAAAUUGCAAAAAUCUCUUCCAGGCUUUUUAGUUUGCGCAAUACCCUUAAAGCAUGUACAGGUACAUCCUUGUCGUGGCCAGCUCAGGCACCAGCAUUAUUGUGCAGCGCUCGUCGGUGAUGGUGCAUCCUGCAAAUGAUGCUGUGCCCCAUGCAAGUGUCCCGCAUGGACUAAGUGCACUGGGACAGUCUCUUCCUUCCUCAUCCUCUAGUCUCUUUUUCUUUUAUUUAGCCUGCUCUGAGCUGCUGGGCAGCUCAUUCACGCUGGGAGCGGUGCUGGAAAAGCUGCCAAAGCCAGGGCCCCCCAGCUGGUGCUGCAGCCACCGCGUGCAUGGGCACCAGCCCCAAGCGAGUUGCCCUCGGCUGGAUACGUGCGAGUUGUACCCCGUGUUGGUGUCCUGGGCCGCCAAGGGCGCACUGCCGGCGGCUGGGGCGAUUCGCGAGCGAGCCACGCAGGGAAGCCCAGAGCCACAUCGCCUCCGCGUCUGGGGAAUUUUGCCUCUAGCUUCAGUCAGCAUUUGCAAGUCUUGUUAAACCUGAAUAACCGCAAUCCGUGACUCCAGCUUCAAAAACAUCAGAUGCUGAAAAAGUAGUGUGAAGCGUGUGUUUACGUGCACCCCCUCCCCGGCUCUUGCACCGAGGUCUCGGUGUGCGGCGGUCCCUGCUCCUGCCAGCGUCCAGCGACUGCUAGGUCACCUCCGCGUCAGGCAACGUUUGCUUAGCUGAAGUUAUACUUUUAAAUGUUUGUAAUUACACUGGUGUAAAACCAUUUGCGGAUGCUCUUCUAUGCGCUUUAACGGAAAUCUGAAUUCACAGCCAGAACCGAUUUUCUUUUGGACUCUCUUCUGAAAGCUGAAUCUGUUUAAGGGUAUCCACAUGGGUGUGCGCUGGCUUCAAUAAACAGAAUUAAAAACAGAUUUUGCUUAAA